GAUGAACGCUGGCGGCGUGCCUAAUACAUGCAAGUCGAGCGAAUGGAUUAAGAGCUUGCUCUUAUGAAGUUAGCGGCGGACGGGUGAGUAACACGUGGGUAACCUGCCCAUAAGACUGGGAUAACUCCGGGAAACCGGGGCUAAUACCGGAUAACAUUUUGAACCGCAUGGUUCGAAAUUGAAAGGCGGCUUCGGCUGUCACUUAUGGAUGGACCCGCGUCGCAUUAGCUAGUUGGUGAGGUAACGGCUCACCAAGGCAACGAUGCGUAGCCGAGCUGAGAGGGUGAUCGGCCACACUGGGACUGAGACACGGCACAGACUCCUACGGGAGGCAGCAGUAGGGACUCUUCCGCAAUGGACGAAAGUCUGACGGAGCAACGCCGCGUGAGUGAUGAAGGCUUUCGGGUCGUAAAACUCUGUUGUUAGGGAAGAACAAGUGCUAGUUGAAUAAGCUGACACCUUGACGGUACCUAACCAGAAAGCCACGGCUAACUACGUGCCAGCAGCCGCUGUAA
rnacentral:rRNA from 1 species